rnacentral:tRNA from 1 species
GGUUAAGGGGGUUGAGAGUUAAGCGGUGGACUGUAGUUCCAAGUACAUGGGUUAAAAUCUCCUUUUAUCA